CAGGCCUCCUGGGCUGAGGACACCAGGGAGGGGAGCAAGGCGCAUGGAAGCCACGUCUAAGUGUGAGCGAAACCCAGAGCCGGCCUACAGCGCAGGGAGGCCAGCGGCAAGCAGAGCAGGCCAAGGUACCAGCAGCCUGGCUUUCCGAAGAAUGAUAACUUAUUUCUGACCUCAGACGUUGCAGAAAUUACUCUCCAGACGGUUCAUUUUUAACAUCUGUCUGAUCACCCUUCAGCUUCACAGUGGAUUUCACAGCCCUGUCAGGAAACUCUAGCAGUGUUAAAAAGACAUUAAAUUACUGAAUCUCAGACAGGCAACUUCAAAUUAAAACAAUUUGUGUGAAAAUGAAAACCCAGGAAGAUCUGGCUACUCAUCCAAUGCUGGAAACACUCCCAAGAGCCAAUACCGAAUGUUCAUCAGUCCUUCGUCUAAACAGGGAAGGAGACAGAAGUUAACGCAGGAUGUCUCGAACCAGAAUCACCCGAGGUAUUUCCUACACCUCAGGGCUCAUGUUUUCAAUACAGAAUGUUAAGGAGGCAGGAUCCAGCUCAGAUGGUCACUUGAGCAACAAGAGGUCAGGCUGGGUGCUACACAAGACUUAAAAGUGCAGCAGGACACAGGUGAAAUGUGCUCCACUUGGCCCAGUCCAUGAAGCAUUUGGACUACUGCAUUCAUCAUCAUAUUUUUACUUUUGUUAAGCAGUUCUGCAACCUACAUUCCUUAAAUAAUAAAUUGUGAAGACUAA